ACUUGACUCAUUGGUAUUACGCAGAAGGCAAAAAUGGCUUCAUUCAAGCUUCAAUUCGCCAUUGUUCUAAUCAUGUAUCUACUUGUUUUCUCUCAAGCCGAAGGUAUAUUUCUUCUCUUUGCAAGUUUUAUUUAUGUAGAUAUAGGGAUCGUUCAACGUAUCAAUAUUUUUAAAAAAAAGUAUUUAAUUAGGACAUGAUCUCAAUCUAUUAAAUCUAAGGACGCAGGUCUAUCUUUAAAAAUAAAAAAUGAUUAAAAGAAAAAACAAAAACAUAAUCGUCUUCUUCACCCACUGCCACCUUAAUCAAGGGGUUUUUCCCCUUGAGUUCAUGGAGGAUCACCCCUUCUUAUCUCGCAAUUUAAGGGAGAACACCCCCCUCCCGAAUUUCUUGUUACGGAGGGUGAUUUCUCCGUCCCUAAACCCUUGGUUAACGUGGUGGGUGAAGAAGAUGAUUACGUUUUUAUUUUUUAAAUGUUUUGAUAUUGUAAAUUAGAUCUACACCCUUAAAGAUUUAAGGGUUGAGAUCAUUUGUCAGAAGCACUUGUACACACAACCUAAUAUGUGUGCAAUGAAUAAUCUAACUCAAUUCAAUACUUACACGUCACGCGUAAGAUACAUUGGAAUGGAUAAAAUAUUAGUACUAACACGUGCUUUAAACCAGAAAGUUCUCUUUAUUUUUAUUUCGUUAAGCAUGUUUAAUCGUACUUAAAAGAUAUCUUCAUGAAAGUUAGGCCGAGAAGUACUUCUAUAAAAUAAUAAAGUAGAUGUAACUUUUUGAUGUACUCAAAAAAAGUAUCUUUGUUUUCAGAGAAAAAUGAUGCGGGCAGCGAUUGUGAUUUUGGAGGUGCAUGCAAAUCUAGGUUAGAUUGCAUCGGUUCGUGCGGUCCAAAAUAUAUCACCGGCAUUUGUGUUCCUGAUCCACAGCACGGAAACGGGAAACAUUGUUGCUGCAUUCCUGUCAAUUGAGUGAAUGAGAUUAUUAAAAGUGAAUAAAAUUAAAAUGGCUUUAUAGUUUUUCCUUCUUUUGCCUAUUGGGAG
rnacentral:lncRNA from 1 species